rnacentral:misc_RNA from 1 species
ACAACAGCAGUCUAAGUUGGAUACAAGUAGUGUUAUUCCCUGAGUGGAAAUAGAAACCGAGACGGUUAUGGAUGCUGUAUAUGCAGCUUUUCUUUCCUUGGAAGCAUACAACAUAUAUUGCCCAAACCAAAGAAAGUAACAUGAAUUGGGCUUCUACUGCAAUCUUACUCAUUUGUACCAUUAAAGCUACCCAUUGCAUUUGCCCGCUUUUUCUCCCUCCAAUUUUGACCCCAAACUUUUGCAUCUGCAACUGCACGCUCUCUAUCUAAAUCAC